AUGGACUGUCAAUUUAAGCAGUGAGAGGAGGUCCGUUGCUGAUGAAACCAGAGGAAAAGUGAACCCAGGAUACAACGCUGAAGACGUAACAAGUUCAGGACACAGUGACCUCAGGAAUAGAGCUGACUGCCCAAUAAACAUCAUCAGCCCGUCACGGGUUCCUGAUAUUGUCAUAUUCAGCUCUCGAAAUCAGAACGAGGAAGAUGUUUCUAACUUGGACUGCAAUGGAGCAAAGAAGACAGUCCGUCGAAUCACUACUGUUUGACCUCAGGGUCAACCACAGAUUGAAAGAAAUGCUGUUUAAAUGCUGCUGUUUUAGACCAGCUUUCUGUUCAGAGAGAAGCCAGAAAUUCAAUCUGACCUUUUUGCUACUCUUAAAGAAGUUAUAUUGCUGAAGAAAAAGAUUCACUGACUUGCGGUGAUGUCAUCUGCAUGCACACAUCACACAGCCAUACUGACAAUGCAUGUUAGUUUGUUCUUUGUAUUUUGCAUUAUUUUUAUUUGACUGGUGUUCAAUCUGAUUCAGCUGGAAUAUUGAAUCAAUUAUUUAUAGAUUCAUAUUUUACACAAUAAAGUAUAUCAGUAUUUAUAUUAGCAUUUUUUCCGAAAUAAAAUGAGCGUUAUACUGUCAAGUAUGCCAACAAAACAACAACGUCCUCUCAGAUGGUUGAGGGUUCAAAUAAGGGAAAUGUGCAAAUUUCGGUCUCUCUUCAUGUUUUUCUGGCAGCUCGUCGCUCAUGGAUGGCAACUGCUGAAUAAAUUAGGGACACCCUCAGUAAGUCACACAAAGCUGUCGUGAUAUGAGAGGGCGAUAACAUAGCCCUUUUGUUUUUGUUUGGGUCGCCAGACCAGUGUUAUCUUUCCUAGACCUGCUUGUGUUACUGAGGUGUUCAUUUGCCAUUCACAAGUGGUGGAUUGAUGUCAGGGUCAAGCAGACUGUUUCUCUGGGGUGAUUUACAGAGGCCUCUGUUUGUCUUUCAAAGACUUCUGCAUCAUUGCUUCUGAAGUCUGUUUCUCUUCUCUCUGCCGCUCUCCUAUUGUUUUGGCAUUUAUUACAGAGGAUGUCUUGAUUUCCUCUCUCUGUUCCGAGGAAAUGGUUUUGCAAUGCGGUAUUUGAGACGAUGUUUGAUAAUAAAUGUGGUAUUCUUCUACAAACCUU